rnacentral:rRNA from 1 species
UACGUAGGGGGCGAGCGUUGUCCGGAUUUAUUGGGCGUAAAGGGCACGCAGGCGGUCUACCGCGUUCGGAGUGACAGCUUCUGGCUUAACCGGGAGAGGGUUCUGAAAACGGGUAGACUUGAGGGCCAAAGAGGAACACAGAAUUCCGGGUGUAGUGGUGAAAUGCGUAGAUAUCCGGAGGAACACCAAAGGCGAAGGCAGCUUUCUGGUGCGCACCUGACGCUGAUGGACGAAAGCCAGGGGAGCGAACGGG